rnacentral:misc_RNA from 1 species
UUCAAUCAAACUAUUAUAGUUAGAUUAAUAAAGAAUUAAAUCAGUUAAAUCGGGCAAUACUCUGACAGUGGAGUCCUGUUUGAGAGGGCGUCUCAGUUGAACGUUGGAGCAAAAUCAGCUGUCCACCUAACAACAACGUUAUCUCUUGAUUUCGAGGUCAUCCGUGUUGAUUGUAAACUGGAAAUGGGCUGUUUACGUUUGACGUAGCUGGCGAUCAAAAGACGGACGGAUUGAAAAUUCGAUACCCCAGCAUCUUUUGAUGUUACCCCUCGAUGUUUUACGGUUCGCAGGAAAGCACAUUCCCAGUCGUCCGUAUAUCGACGUGGCGCGAAUAACUCACACGAUGAAUUUAUUAUAACACGUUAGCAACAAGGGAAAAAAGUUAAAAUGUGGGUGAAACCGGAGGAAGUGCUCAUCGCUACUGCCAUGUGGGACACAGAACAAAACAGCCUUUAUUUUUCUAUGCAAAAGAGAAAAGGCCAUGGUGAUAAGUCGACGUUAACCUCCAUAUUAGUCGGGACGCUGGAUAACAUAUUUGACACCAAGCCGGCACCUUACAGAAUACUGCACCAAACUCCAAAUUCUGAAGUUUAUUAUGUCAUUGCCUGUUCGAUAUCACACAAAGAGAUUGAAGACCAUUGGACUUGGCUUCAGCAGAACCUAGAUUGUCUUAACCAGUUUGAUAAGGAGGAAGAUGUGACUCAGUACGUCUGCACUAAAAUUGAGUCAAUGGUAUCGUCCGCUUCAAACAUCCCGCAGAUGAAUUGUGACGAUGAGCGCACAAAAAAGUGCAGGCAAAUUUUUAAAUUGCCUUCAAACGACCGAUUUGUCAGCUACUAUUCAUGCAGUUAUUGGUACAAAAAGGUCCCUCUCCAUGGUUGGCUCUACCUGACGAUGCAACAUAUAUGCUUUUAUGCUUAUAUGUUCGGUGUGGAGAAACAGUUCGUUGUGCCAUGGAGCGAGGUGACAAAGUUGGAGAAGACGGCUCGUCUCUUUUCCCUUGCGUCAAUUUGUGUCUACACGAGACAUAAGAAAUUCUAUUUUUCCAUGUUUGUCAACAUAAAUGACACAUACAAACUAAUGCAGCAGCUUGUUAAUCUGGCAAUGAAACAAUUAAUGGAUGAUAAAAUGGAGUUCACUGAAGACAAAGAACUUCUGAAUAAACUGAGCAAAAAUGUGAGCAAAAAGCAGACAUUCUUGAAAAGGGAUUUGGAUGCGAGAGCUCUCUCUGCGUCGUAUAGAUUACAAUUCCGUUUACCUCUUGCUGAGAAGGUAGAUGGUAGAACUGAUGGUACUCUGUGGACCCCUUACAAUAAAAAGCAUGUCUGGGGAUUCAUUUAUGUUUCACAAAAUUACAUUUGCUUUGACAGCAGGGUGAAAGACCUAGUGCAAGUUGUCAUCCCUCUCAGAGACAUUUACCAUAUAGAAAAAUGUGACAAAAGGAGUUCAUUGUCAAAUGUUACUGAUUCCAUUUUGAUAACGACGAAGACACUGUCGAGGCCUUCUUUUCUCUUUUCACAAAUCAGCGAUAGAGACUUCUUAAUUGAGAAAAUAGAAGAACUUCGUUCUAAACUGAAAGACCCCAGUGAUUCUGAAUCUGCAGUUGAUGAUACUUCCAAAGAAAAAUGGGAGUGCACCAAGCCAAUGAGGAUCCUUUUCAAAAAGGAUAUGCCAAAAGAGGUCAAGGCCCAGGAAGAAGUCAAAAUAAAGCAAUGGGAGAUGCACUUUGAACAAUUCGGUCGAGGUAUAUCCAUGUACAAAACGACUGACAUAAUGAAGUUGCUCCUACGUGGAAUCCCUGAUGCCAUGCGAAGGGAACUUUGGAUGAAUUUUUCAGGAGCUUGGAAUGAAAUGUGCAAUGAUAGGUCAGCGUAUAGAAAGCUCGUAGCGAAAGGUUUGGGCAAGGCAUGCACGGCAAACGAUGAAAUUGAACGUGACCUCCAUCGUUCACUUCCUGAACACCCUGCGUUUCAGUGUGAUGUUGGUAUAAAUACCCUUCGCCGAAUCCUCACUGCGUAUGCAGCUCGGAACCCUCAAAUAGGAUAUUGCCAAGCUAUGAACAUAGUAACCUCAGUAAUGUUGAUAUACUGCGCAGAAGAAGAAGCGUUUUGGCUUCUUGUCUGCUUAUGCGAACAGCUUCUACCUGAUUAUUACAACACCAAAGUUGUCGGUGCUCUAGUUGAUCAAGAAGUCUUAGACGAUCUCGUCUCAGCCUACUUAUCACAUUUACACUCAUCUUUACAACUGUUUGGAAUGAUAAAAAUGAUAUCACUGUCUUGGUUCCUUACAAUAUUUUUAAGCGUUAUGCCUCAUACGAGUGCUGUGAAUAUUGUUGAUUGUUUUUUUUAUGAUGGGGCAAAAGUAAUUUUCCAAGUGGCUUUAACAAUUCUCGACCUUAAUCAAGAAGCGCUUCUUAAGUGCAAAGAUGAUGGCGAGGCUAUGGAAUUGUUCUCCAAAUACCUUGCUGGGGUUUUUAAUGAACAGGAUCCAAAAAAUACACCUGAGGGUGAUGUCAAAAAGAGUAUUUCCGUCCAGGCGUUGUUGCACGAAGCUUAUUCAAAAUAUUCAUGCAUUACUGCCAACGAAAUAGAAGCCUUGAGAAACAAGCACAGAACGCAAGUAGUUCAGGACUUAGAGGAUAAUUUAAGCUCGUCUGUCUUAAGAAGCCUGCUGCCUAAUGAUUUCUAUAGCGAGGCGCAAUUAUCAGACUUGAUUUCAUUUAUAAGGGAAGAGGUUGUGUCUAGAAGAAAGCCUGAAGAAAAAUAUGAUCCAUCGAAACCAUUUUAUGAAGCAUACAAAAUUGAUUUUGACUUGUUUAAGCUAUUAUUUGAAAAUUGUUCUACCUGGGGGAAGUGUUCUAAAUCCGAAGACUUGGGCGCACGAUUAUUCAGGCUUAUGGACGCUGAUAAUGACGGAUUGCUGAAUGUAAAAGAGGUGGUCACUUCUCUGGGAUUGACAUCAAGGGCGGAUUCUUCGGUUCGCCUGCGUCUUCUUUUUGUACUCCACCUGCCUCCGAUUUUACCCAUUGUCGAAACAAAACACGUUUACCUCCCAGAUGGAGCUGAAUUUGCCGCCGAGGCUACUGAAUUUUUUGAGGACGGAUCGUUCAGCAUCGGGUCAAGUUCGGCUGACUCAACACCGAUUUUAGAAACCGGGAGCAACCACUCAGCUGAAGAUCAAAUUGGCCAUACGGCAUCUUCAAGCAAUGACAUCUCUGACACUCGUCCUGUUGCGGGGCUGCAAGUCGAUCGUGAUCACACUGGGGAGGAUGCAUCAUGGGAAGUUUCUAGCGUGUCAUCUUUGAGAUUGGCCGCUACUACUCCUCCAAACAAAACCAACCCAAAACUUCUGCCAAAAAUGGGCAUGUCCCAUUUCAACAUGUUGAUCCUUUCUCUUGACGAUUUACUCCAACAGCCGAGUUCAUCUGAUACAAACACAACUUUCUACACGGAGCAUUAUUUUAAAAAUUUAGUCUCGUUGCUCAUCGAUUUGGGCGAGGUCGGAAGGAAAUUCUAUACGAGAAAAGAAGAGUUGGCGAGCAGUUUACAAUCCAGCUCUGAAAAAUGGAACGAAGACGAACCGCCUCCUGAUUUAAAUGGAAAUCCCGGGAAGGAAUCGGAAUGGGCACUCGCGGUAGAACAGUUUAUUGCAACUAUCCUCAUAAAUGAGGGAGUUGUGAACUUUUUCUCGAAAAAUAUCGAUUUAUGCCCUGGGCUGGCGAUACUGCGGAAAAGUAGAUUUUCAAAACCAUUAUACCUUGUAUAGUAGUCUUGAUGCGCCACCGAAUGCACCAGUUGAUGAGGCCAAGAUGAUCUAGGUGAAAGAUGCUCUGGCUACAGGAGGAUUGCGGUAUUGUCCGUGAAGAUCAUAUUAGGAUGUCAGCGGCGUUAGCUGUGUAAAUUGAUCCUAGGUACUCCCUUGAGGAACACCAGCCUCGAUGCCUGAAAAUUCAGAACCUCAAACCACGAGAAGAACUUCAGGAAGAGAUAGUCGAUUAACAGGUGGUUCGGCUGGCGGUUCUUCCGGAGGUGGUUCUUCCUCAGGAGUUUUCGGCUCUUCAGGAGGUUCUUCAUUUACCUCUCUC